rnacentral:lncRNA from 1 species
AAACCUUCCCAAAAUGGACCCCGGUGAAUGCAUGCAGGAAAUACCACACUGACAGGACUUACUCUGGGAAGCCACUGCUGCAGGCAGCUGAGCCCAUCCUGCCCUGCGGUGCUGGCAGCCCCUCCAUCACCAAGGAGAGAUGUACCCUGAGGCCACCCCAUCCCACCAGCACCUUCACCCCCACAGCCACUUUUGUCAGCCUGGCUGUGCCGGGGACUUCCCAGGGUGAGGAGGACAGAGCUGGCACCACUACCAAAGCUGUGAAGAUGGACAGCUGGACACUUUGCAGGACACGGGUGGUUUUGAGAGAGUUCAGAAAAGAUCUGCUCCCAGUGAAACGGAAAGGGAGAAGAUAGAGCAGCUGGAAAGGAUGGUCUUGGACCUCCAACAGGACGUCCUCUCUCUGAAGAAGAAGGUACAGAGGCUGGAAUCCCUGUCCUUCCAGGAGGAGCCCCACCGGCAGCCCUGCGAGGUGGUGGAGCUCUUCAAUGGCUACACCAAGGAACAGCUCCGAGAAGCAAUCCGCUUUGACCAGAAGAUCAGCACUGCCUGCAAGACGCUGCUCUACAAGCUCUUCACGUCCGACUACAUCCAGAGCCACUCCAUCACGGGGCGCAGAGGCAACACUUUCCGAGAGGCAAAGCCCAUGAUGGAUGAGCGCUGCAUCAAAAUCAUCAGGGUGCUGCUGAAACAGAAGUUUGGGGACCACCUCAGCGACACGGUGAUCACAGAGAAGAUACAAAACGUGCAGAAAGCUCUGAGGCAGAAGUUUAAGACAGAAUGUCUCUGACAUGGGGGUGGUUUGGUGUCUCUGGUCCUACCCUUCUCAUCAGUGCACCUGAGCGUCCCUCCCAAAAAUAUCGUGUCUGCAUUGCUGCUGCUUGGCUGAUUCCUCCUGAGGCACUGAAGAGGACACAGAUCUUUCACAAAUGUCUACCUGCAUUAAUCAGAGGGAAGUUUGCUCAGCUUGGCUCCAGGUUUGCACAUCUGCCAGCACUUUACCAGUUCCUUCCACUACAGUCUGUGUGCCAAGCUCAACUUAUGGCUGGGUGUUGACCCCUGGGUCUUUUUGAUGAACACGCUCAAAAGAUGGAGAUUUCCCAUUGGAUCCAAGUGUGGGUUGGUGAGCCAACCUUGCAGUGGUCAGGGAGGGAGAUUGGUGGUGGGGCAGGAGCUGCAGCCCCAACAAAGCAGCAGCUCCAUUUGCACAGGGACUUGGGAGCACCCAAUGUGACUUCUUGCAUAGCACAGCAGUCCCCUCAUCCUGUGGACAGCACCUACUCUCUUUUUGAAUGCAUACUGCAGCUUCUCAUGGUAACAGAAGGGCAGGCUCAUUAACACCAUGCCAUAAAACCUUCAGAGAAGGAUUACUUCACUUUUUUCCCCCCUCUGUUUUAAUGUGGCUGUCUGGAAGAAGUGUUUGCACUAAUGAAGCCUGCUG